rnacentral:tRNA from 1 species
GGGGUUGUAGUUCAGUGGUAGAGCACUUGCCUAGCAUGUGUGAGGUACUGGGUUCGAUUCUCAGCACCUCA